rnacentral:miRNA from 1 species
GUUCCUUUCAAACACUUCACAU